rnacentral:rRNA from 1 species
CAGGGAUUGCCCUAGUAACGGCGAGUGAAGCGGCAACAGCUCAAAUUUGAAAUCUGGCCCUUGGGUCCGAAUUGUAAUUUGUAGAGGAUGUUUUUGGUGCGGUAUCUUCCGAGUUCCUUGGAACAGGACGCCUUAGAGGGUGAGAGCCCCGUACGGUUGAAUGCCUAGCCUUUGUAAAACUCCUUCGACGAGUCGAGUAGUUUGGGAAUGCUGCUCUAAAUGGGAGGUAAAUUUCUUCUAAAGCUAAAUACCGGCCAGAGACCGAUAGCGCACAAGUAGAGUGAUCGAAAGAUGAAAAGCACUUUGAAAAGAGGGUUAAAUAGCACGUGAAAUUGUUGAAAGGGAAGGAUUUAUGACCAGACUUUUUCUAGGCGAAUCAUCCGGUGUUCUCACCGGUGCACUUCGUUUAGUUUAGGCCAGCAUCGAUUUUCGGGGUGGGAUAAAAGCUUUAGGAAUGUGGCUCCCUCGGGAGUGUUAUAGCCUAUUGUAUAAUACCGCCCUGGGGAUCGAGGUACGCGCUUCUGCAAGGAUGCUGGCGUAAUGGUUAUCAAUCACCCGUCUUGAAACACGGACCAAGGAGUCGAACAUUUGUGCAAGUGUUUGGGUGUUAAACCCUCACGCGUAAUGAAAGUGAACGGAGGUGAGAGCCCUUUACGGGGUGCAUCAUCGACCGAUCCUGAUGUCUUCGGAUGGAUUUGAGUAAGAGCAUAAAUGUUCGGACCCGAAAGAUGGUGAACUAUGCGUGGAUAGGGUGAAGCCAGAGGAAACUCUGGUGGAGGCUCGCAGCGGUUCUGACGUGCAAAUCGAUCGUCAAAUCUGCGCAUGGGG